GAUGAAGAACGCAGCGAAAUGCGAUAAGUAAUGCGAAUUGCAGAAUUCCAGUGAGUCAUCGAAUCUUUGAACGCACAUUGCGCCCUUUGGUAUUCCGAAGGGCAUGCCUGUUCGAGCGUCAUUAUCACCCCUCAAGCCCCCGGCUUGGUGUUGGACGGUUUGGCGGAGGCCCUCCGGGGCCCUUGCCCCUCCCAAAGACAAUGACGGCGGCCUCGUUGGACCCCCGGUACACUGAGUUCUUCACGGGACACGUACUGGAGUAAGGGUGCGCGGGGCACGGUCUGCCUCCCCUCAGGGAGAAUCUUCUUUUACAAGGUUGACCUCGGAUCAGGUAGGGAUACCCGCUGAACUUAAGCAUAUCAAUAAGCGGAGGA
rnacentral:misc_RNA from 1 species